GUGAAUCAUCGAAUUUUUGAACGCAAAUUGCACUCUCUUCGGAGAGUAUGCCUGUUUGAGGGUCAGCCUAAAAAAAAAAAUCGACAUAGUCGCUGUUUCGCGGUGACAUUCGUCGGAAAUUGGUUUAUUUUAAACCUUUGGGUUUUAAGCGGCUUAAAAUUUUCUUUUUGAUUUUACGUACGUUUCUAAUAUUUACUUUUUAUACGUUUAAGUUAUCAAUCCUUAUUAUACGUG
rnacentral:misc_RNA from 1 species